UUUUUUUCUGGCAUUAAAUGG
rnacentral:piRNA from 1 species